AACGAACGCUGGCGGCGUGCCUAAUACAUGCAAGUCGAGCGAGAAAGUCUCUUCGGAGAUGAGUAAAGCGGCGCACGGGUGAGUAACACGUGGGCAAUCUGCCCUCGAGUCUGGGAUAACCCGGGGAAACUCGGGCUAAUACCGGAUACGGCUACGGGGUCUUCGGAUCCUGUGGAGAAAGAUGGCCUCUUCUUGAAAGCUAUCUCUCGAGGAUGAGCCCGCGUCCUANAGCUACUUGGUGGGGUAACGGCUCACCAAGGCAAAGAUGGGUAGCUGGUCUGAGAGGAUGACCA
rnacentral:rRNA from 1 species